UGGGGAAUAUUGGACAAUGGGCGAAAGCCUGAUCCAGCAAUGCCGCGUGCAGGAUGAAGGCCUUCGGGUUGUAAACUGCUUUUUGUACGGAACGAAACGGCGAACUCUAAUAAAGUUUGCUAAUGACGGUACCGUAAGAAUAAGCACCGGCUAACUACGUGCCAGCAGCCGCGGUAAUACGUAGGGUGCAAGCGUUAAUCGGAAUUACUGGGCGUAAAGCGUGCGCAGGCGGUUAUAUAAGACAGAUGUGAAAUCCCCGGGCUCAACCUGGGACCUGCAUUUGUGACUGUAUAGCUAGAGUACGGUAGAGGGGGAUGGAAUUCCGCGUGUAGCAGUGAAAUGCGUAGAUAUGCGGAGGAACACCGAUGGCGAAGGCAAUCCCCUGGACCUGUACUGACGCUCAUGCACGAAAGCGUGGGGAGCAAACAGGAUUAGAUACCCAAGUAGUCCCUGAGCGGGCUGGCAAGGCGCAU
rnacentral:rRNA from 1 species